UUUUUUAGGCUUUGUGAGUAUCCAUUUGAGAAUUUGUACCACAAUGCAAGCAAAAAGCUGACUUAAAUUGUGAGUAGACUUGAAUGAUGUGAACCGGUGGAGAAAGCAGAAGCCUUCUGCCUCUCCUCACAUGGUCAGGAAGGGUGGAGCGGAGCCAGAGCCACCGCAUCUCUUCACACCUGGCUGGAACCAGGUCAGGCAGCUAAUGCGUUCCUUGGGCUCGGCCACGACUUGUUGGAGACAGACGAGCGCUGCAGGCUGGGAGAAGGAAUUCCAGCGAGAGACAUAUGUGGGGGAUGCAGUGCCAGGAGAGCCAACAGCAAGCUGGAGACGGAGAGCUCUGCUCCGUGAAACGCAAAGAGAGGCAGAUUUAAUAGAGGCUUGAUGACUUUGAAACCGUCCCUCAUAGCCUCAAUUAAGACAGGAGAUUUCAUUAAGCACACAAGCAAUGCUCAUGCCCUGCCGAUGGGCAGCAUUCCAGCUCCGGAGGUGAUCACUGUCCGUGUGGGUUCAUUCUUCCAGCAGCAGACGGUGUGCUAUUCCAGCUUUAAGUCCGUGCAGUUCGGGGCGGCACCAGGAACUGCAUCAAACCAAGGGUAUCUCAUCAGGAUGGGGAGGAGAAAUGCUCCCAAGAACUGCUCAAACCGCUUCAACGUGGAUAGUUUACGUUUUCCCUUCAGCCAAAGCUUUUCUCUGGUUUUAUUUCAUUGUUAUUUUUUAAGCUGAAAGAACAUUAUCCAGUUCAACCCUGGGUCUUUCAAGUGGAAAGCAGAAACGCUCAGAUUUCUUCAAUAACUCUUUUCUCCUUUCCUUCCCGCUACCACACUUUCUACUUACAGUGGAAGAAAUAGGGAUAAGAAACUCCUCGUGUGUGAAACCAGCCCAAAAACUGAGCAGUGAAUGCUUUGCUCCAUCGUCCUGUGCAUUGGAGUCAUCUCCAGCUUCCACCCUUCGCUGUGAGCUCCACAGGGCAACAAAUUUGGAGAGAAAAGAAACGUAAUUCCUCCCUUUGUGUAUUUAAAAAAAAAAAAAAAGAAACAAAUCAAGUCAUGGGAAUGGCCAGAUUUUGCUUCAAAAGAUAUUUAACACUUCAUUUUGCUUCAUCUCUUCUUGAAUAUUUCUUAUAAAAGACAAAGGCUUCACACAAAAGGUCAUUAAGAGAUAAAAAAUUGAAGCUCUUCUUGCAAGAACGAGAAAGAAGGCAUCUUGACAUUUUUAACAGGUCUUUUUUGUCCUCCUUUCCAAAAUGAAAAUU
rnacentral:lncRNA from 7 species